rnacentral:tRNA from 1 species
GAGGGUACAGCUCAGUAGCAGAGCAUGUGCUUAGCAUGCAUGAGGUCCUGGGUUCUACCCCCAGUAACUCCA